UUGUUCAUUAGCUAUCAUAUGUGACUGGCUUAUUAUACCCGUCUUGUCCUAAACUCACUCUACGAUGAGAUACACGCGCUUUUGUCCUCUUGAAUUGCGCGGGAACUUCAUUGCGUUUCAUCCACACAGAAAUGCGUUCUUGACUUUAUUCUUACUAUCGACACAUGUAAAUUUUGAAAAAAAAAACAAAAAAAACCUGUGUGUACGACUGACACGACGCCACAAUGAGGUCGGUUCAUUCUGCUGCUGUUUUCCUCUUUAUAUCGGAUUUAUAUUCGAUAUGGAUAACAAUAAUCAAAGUUCACUGAAAAGCAACAAGAUUUACGUGUUAACCGAUGAGGCUUUCAUCAAAUACAUGUAUUUGGCUGUUUCUCCAGGAUAACUGCAUUGGCAAUGUUGCCAUUCAUGCUUCUAGUGGACUAUAUAAGCUGAAAAACUAUAAGUGUCUAUUUUUUUCACACAGAAAAUAAUGUCAAGCACUGUAUUUGAAAUGAGUUCAGACAGUAUUCAUCAGCAUUAUCUAAUACAAAUGAUAGGAAGAUAUAUCGACAUGAAUGAGCACUUGUAUUUGCAUGAUCUUGUGUUGUAGAUCUUUGAACCAGAACUGCAUCUCCUUUCUUUCCCCUGGAGUGUUCAGUGAUCUUCAUGAACUGUGAAAGUACUUGUCAAUGGUGAAGACCUCUCUAGAACAGCUUCCACCCUCCAGACUCUGCACCAUGUGCCCUUUCUCAGCUGGCUGUCAUUGAGAGCUAACUUCAUACAGAGUUUGCCACAGAACACCUUCCAAUCUCUGCGUAAGAUGGGAGACCUGUAAGUGAAGAUAAAGCAUUGCUAAUCAGAAAUUCUAGUAAACACUGAGGCUCAGAGCUUGUAGACGGUGAACGGAUGGAGGUAAGCGUGAUAACCAAAGGCUCUUGAUAAAGGACUUAAUAAUAAAGCUUGGAUACUCUGUUUCUGCAGUGGCUUGGAGGGAGUGGAGAUCCCAAAUAUCCAGACAAGCAUGUUUCACCACAUGGAUAACCUCUCCUACAUAUUUUUAGUCCAAAAGUGUAAACCGAACUCAGAUGGACUCUCAUCUUUUGAAAAUCUGCUUGCUAACGUGGUUCUUCGUGUGUCAGUGUGGGUCAUGGCUUUUAUCACCUGCUUUGGAAACCUCUUUGUCAAUGGGAUGAGGACAGUCCUGCGGGAUUUUGUGCUGUGAGUACCUGAGGUAUACAUUUUACCUACUGUAUGCACACAUUAUAUUAAACACUAAAUAAAUGAUACCAGAGGGCACAUGACUGUUUUUAAGGUUUAUUUCUACUAUAAUUGUCUGACUGUUAUGAAACCUAUGUGACGCAAGCAGAAGCAGCAGGCACUCCUGGAAAUAAACCGUUUUCUAGGGCACCGAGCUCUCAAAUUAUAAGUGUUCCUGUACCCAUCAUGUCCUCUCAGUUGCAUCAAGCAUUACAUAUAGCAAGCUAUGUCUCAGUUUCCAUUUACCUUUAAAAAAUGUGGAUUUCGUCUCACUGAAAAGCUCUCCCCUAUGCUUUCAGCAUUCCGAUAUGUGCGACAGCACUUGACAAUAUUAUUUAGCUCAGGUAGAGCAUGUCUAAGAUAUUUGAAAAGCCUUUUCUCCAGGUCCUCUUGCUGUCAGUCCCCUUUAACCAAAGAGUCUCACUUGUUGACAGUCUCCAGCCUGACAUUCAGCUUGAAAGGCUGUCGUGAUUGGACGGGAAAUCUAUAACCUUGUAACAAUUCUAUUCGCACAGGAUUCGCUCUCUAUUACAAUCACCUUCAGUAAUCAAUUCUAACUCUUGCUGGAGUUCUUGAGCUGGUGCCAUUAAUCAGUGCACCCUGUUUGGCAUGGGAAGCACUUCCAUUUUAGUUUGCAAUGUCAUUACCACAUGUGCUUUGGUCACGUACCUGUGCUGUGCCUCGUAAAUAUUGAUUUCUGGCCUGCUGGUGUUGUGAUUUGUCUUUUCAAAAUAAAAAUGUAUACAUUUUAUAUGUGCAGGAAUAGCUCCAACAUUCUGGCGCAAGACCAAAUUAUAAAUCAGGAAGCUACUUGUUCAUUAAUGAGUUCUGCUUCUGGCAUCCAGUGAGUAAUAGCUGUUUACCACAAUGCAUCA